rnacentral:rRNA from 1 species
CCAAUAGCGUAUAUUAAAGUUGUUGCAGUUAAAAAGCUCGUAGUUGAAUUUCGGGACUAAUAUGUCGGUCGUACUUUGUACGUACUAGCAUUAUUGGUUUCUCCCUUCUGACGAACCACGAUGUCAUUAAUUUGGUGUCAUGGGAAAUCAGGACUGUUACUUUGAAAAAAUUAGAGUGUUUAAAGCAAGCUCGCGCUUGAAUACAUUAGCAUGGAAUAAU